rnacentral:rRNA from 1 species
AGAAUCAACGCUGGCGGCGUGCCUAACACAUGCAAGUCGAACGCGAAAGCCCGCAAGGGUUAGUAGAGUGGCGCACGGGUGAGUAACACGUGGACAACCUGCCUUCGAGUGGGGAAUAACCUUCCGAAAGGAGGGCUAAUACCGCAUAAAACGUCGGAACACAAGUUCUGGGGUUGAAAAGAGCAAUUUGCUCGAAGAGGGGUCCGCGCCUGAUUAGCUAGUUGGUGAGGUAACGGCUCACUAAGGCUUCGAUCAGUAGCCGUCCUGAGAGGGAGCACGGCCGACACUGGAACUGAGACACGGUCCAGACUCCUACGGGAGGCAGCAGUGGGAAUUUUGGCAAUGGCGAAAGCCUGACAAGCAACGCCGCGUGGUGAUGAAGUAUCUUGGUACGUAAAACCCUUUCGGCAGGGACGAACCUAAUGACGUACCGUGCGAAGAACGCCCGACUAACGUCCGCGCCAGC